CACACGAGGCAUCUUUAGGUGUUGACAUAUAACAUAAGAUUCCAAAAACAAUAACACCCUCCUCUCAAUUCAUCAUUCAUCUUCACCUCAUUUGUUUUUUCAAUUUAUUUAUAGGUGAAACUAGGGAUUUUGUUGGGCUGCUCAGUGGUUACAUCACACAUUAUUGUUUUAUUAGGGAACAAAGCCGAACUAUAGUAAGCUGCUUUUGUUUGAUCUUAGAACAUUGCAUUCUUCUCUCCAAAGAGUUCUUUGGCUAUCUACUCUGCCCUACUAAUGACUACUUCAAGGCGCGUAGCAGACAGGAAGGUUGCAAGGUUUGAAAGGAACAUUGCAAAGAGAUGUUCCGAAAACAAGAAAGGAUUCUUUCCUUAUCCAAUUCGCCACAUCUUGAUUGGUUUCCUUCUCUCCAUCCUCAUCGGUUCAUCUCUGUUUGUGAUCAUUAGGACCGCAUCAAGCCGAGGGUUGUGAACGUUUACUACUGUAGUCUGUGUAGUUUAUAAAACAUCCAACAGGUUUCUAAAAGAAAUGUUAUAUUAGAGUCCACCUUAGAUCAGCUGAAUGUUGAUCCAGAGUGAAUUCAGAACUGCUUUGAUAUGAUAAUGAAUAAAUAGUGAGUUUCUAGUUCUGUUAAAAUGCCCUGUUUUUAUUUAAGGCCUGUGCCCAACAAGCUAACUUGGUGUAGUGAAGUCAUAAUUCAUAGCAACAUUUGAUUCUUACAUGUGUGGAUGCAGUACUAAAAUUAUGUAAAAGAAUCUUGCUAAGAAUAAAUUACUUUAUUAUCCUAUAAACCCAAAUAUCUUUGGUUCA